rnacentral:rRNA from 1 species
CCAGACUCCUACGGGAGGCAGCAGUGAGGAAUAUUGGUCAAUGGGCGGGAGCCUGAACCAGCCAAGUCGCGUGAGGGAAGACGGUCCUACGGAUUGUAAACCUCUUUUGCCGGGGAGCAAAGAGCGGGACGCGUCCCGCCUCGAGAGUACCCGGAGAAAAAGCAUCGGCUAACUCCGUGCCAGCAGCCGCGGUAAUACGGAGGAUGCGAGCGUUAUCCGGAUUUAUUGGGUUUAAAGGGUGCGUAGGCGGGCUGUUAAGUCGGGGGUAAAAGCCCGGGGCUCAACCCCGGCGAGCCGUUGAAACUGGCUGUCUUGAGAUGUCGAGAGGUAUGCGGAAUGCGCAGUGUAGCGGUGAAAUGCUUAGAUAUUGCGCAGAACUCCGAUUGCGAAGGCAGCAUACCGGCGGCGAUCUGACGCUGAGGCACGAAAGCGUGGGUAUCGAACAGGAUUAGAUACCCGGGUA